UAUAUUAUAGUUUAUGAUGAACACUAAAUUUUGAUUUUAGAGGACAGUUUAAUCCUGUUAAUAUAA
rnacentral:tRNA from 1 species